CCGCCCAUAACGCCGAGCUCCAUCCGAUGGGCGGGGACACCACCGGACAACAUCGCGGAUGGAGGCGGGGGACCCACCGGUCCACCGAAACAGGACCUGGGGCCGUUCGCGGCCCCUUGGGGUGAAGCCGAAGUCGCCAACCGGCGAUACCGGCCGGGCUACCUCUCCAGCCCGAACCCGACAGCUGACCUCGCGGGCGUGGCAGAGAGGACAU
rnacentral:sRNA from 2 species